rnacentral:rRNA from 1 species
UACGUAGGGGGCGAGCGUUGCCCGGAAUUACUGGGCGUAAAGGGAACGUAGGUGGCUCUUAAAGUCAGGUGUGAAAAUAACGAAGCUUAACAGGUUAAUGCGCUUGAAACUAAAGGGCUUGAGGGCAAUAGAGGGAGAUGGAAUUACCUGUGUAGGGGUGAAAUCCGCAGAUAUAGGUAAGAAGGCCGGUGGGGAAGCCGAUCUCCUGGGUUGACUCUGACACUGAGGUUCGAAAGCUAGGGGAGCAAACCGGAUUAGAAACCCCGGUAGUCC